CACAUGGGAGGGGAAUACAUUCCUGGUGGUAGCAACCAGAGCAGUAACCAGAGCAGUAACCAGAGACAAUAGACAGAGACAAUAGACAGCAUCGAGACCAAACCAUUUGAGACCAAACCAUUUGAUGAAGUUGACGAAGGUUUGUCGAAUGUGUGCAUGGAACCAGACAGUGAGGCUCUCCCUCCAGCGAAGAGGCCAAAAAGAGACCAAAAAGAGGUGGAGGGCAGAGACAGCCGAGAAGUGGAGACAGUUAAUCUCCUAAAUAUAGCACAAAUAAACCGCAAAAUUUUUUUCUGCAUAGUUGUUGGUGUCAGAAUGGUGUUAGAACUUACAGACUUCUGUUGAAGCUCAAAAGAUGAGCAAUAAAAAUUAUACUCGGGUACAUGCACAACAAAUUCGGAGGUACACAUCUUCAGACAGCCAUUUCAUAGUGAUGAUGUCAUACGAUGUAACAGGUGAUGGUCCAAUGGAAGCGCCAAUAAUUGAACUUUCAGUACCUGCACUCAAAUAGAUCAUAUCACUUUUACUUCAGAAGAUAUGCCACAAAAUGUGAAAAAAAUAAUAUAAAAAAAAAUCUACUCUCUUUGGUUGUUGCACUGUAUUCAUAAAUAAAAAACUUUAUGGAUCAAACUUUAUGGAUCAUAUACCGUAUUUUUCGUGGGGCAAAAUAUUUGUGGUUUUCGUGGUUGGAGGUAAUAAUUAUUUGGUAUUUUACCCACGAAUGAAGCCUGCAGUACUAGCUCCAAACCACGAAAAUAUUAUCCACGAAAUUCAAUAUUGCUGAACCACGAAUAGAAUAUUUUGUCCCCCGAAAAUUACCGCAAUUGAGGAUUCAGCAAGUAACCAAGACCAUUAACCUUAACCUUUUCACAGGUGGUUGAACAGUAUCAGUUUGGUGUUAUGGUGCACUGGUGCACUUCUUAUAAGUAAUCUACAUCAUGACAUGAUGCAAAGCUAUUAUUGGUCUAGUUGGACAUUUCGAAUGUUCCAAAAUAUAUGGUGAAGUGAAGGACAGGACCCUUCCCCGUUUUAAUAUAAAACAGAAUAAAUAACAAUUUUCUUUUUAAAAAUCAUGAACCCUACCAACCCUACCUUAGUAAUAUCUCGCAAUGCACUUUUGGCACUCUUUAAUUGGCCUAUCGUACUAAUUCUGUAAAUUCUGUAUUCAAUGUGUCCAACUCUUCAUAACACUUUGUCAUCAUACUUCUAAUAGGUUGGGUAUCGUAUACCAUCAUAUCUUACGAAGAGCAGAACCAAUUGUCUCGACAAAUCGAUUGUCAGGUCUGCCGCCUCUUCCCUUUCGGUUAGAAUCAAUAGGUUUACCGAUUGUUGUUUUUGUAGUUGUAGCGAUGUAGGAAUACCAUUUAAAUUCCAAGAAGCCAAAUUACCAGCUCUUAUUUCACUCAUAGACGAAAUCAACUGUUCUUCAGUGAGUCCCUGGGCUCAGUUUCUGUACGCAUGCGCAUCAUUGCGCAUCAUAAUUAUUGUAUAGUAAUAUUAUUAUAACGAAGUACAUCAGGUAUAGGUACAAGCAUGCGAAGACUUCUAGACUUCUAUAAUUAUAUACCUUUAUUUCUGAUGCAUUAGCUUUUCUGAUGCGUGGCUCCCAUACUCACCUACGUUCUUAACGUAGAGGGGAUCCAGACGUAGAGGGGAUCCAGUUAACUUGGGCAGCCCUUUCACUGAAGGUCUCGUAGGUGCUACAAUACGAGAUAAAUAAUCAUUAAAUGAGGAACUUGGAUGGCGCUUGGAUGGCGCUUGGAUGGCGCUUUGAUUUGGAUGGCGCUUUGAUAAUUCUACACAGAGAAGAUGUUGGGCGUCUGGUCCAUUUCACCAUAGGUUGGAAGUGAGCCUGCAAGUCACAUAUAUAAGUCACGAUAUAUAGUCAUUCGGAAGUUGACACCCACAACAACGUUACCUUGAAUGGUUAGAGGGCUGUUGGACAUACUUUUGUAGUUGCAGCUCACCCAAGAAGUUAACCAGUAAACAGUGAUGUUAAUACAGACUCCUUCGUAAUUUUAAAGAAUGAAAAUAGUAGAUAGAUCUAAUGCAUUAGCCGGUGGUUACAAGUGACGGUAUCCCUUUUAAUUAUCUUUUUAUCAUUAUAAAUAUAUGCAUUAUAAAUAAUGUGCUUCAUAAAAUUGUAGUGAGGGAAAAAAAGUCACUGCUGCUUUAACUUUAAAGAGUAUACUUUGUGAAAGAGUAUACUAGGCUUAGCCAACUGAGUACAAUUAAGUUUAAUUCUGCUCUAAACUACUUACCUUGCACUGUACAAUUGCAGCUCAAAAUUUCUUUACCUUUUGCACUUUGAUUUCAUUGGUCUAGGUUAAUUGACUGCAAGCGCAUAGUAGCUCCUGUUGGCAAGCAGAGAAAAGGUUGGCUACCUAUUUUAUUUUAGUUGCUUACUGCUUACUCAAAACACCAUUUUGUGGAAACCCUAACAUACCUCAAAAAUGUUAUCCAUACAUCGAUAAUAGACUUGACAACAGUCGCAAUAAUUAUGUAUCAUGUUUAACGAUUGCCAGAGUGUAGUAGAAAAUCGCUGAAAUAAUAAGUGUGACUGUCAGCACGAGAACCGCACAUACAGUUUUUGAAACAAGAAUUUCUCAGAAAUAUUCUAGAAACGUGAUAUUCUAGAAAUGAUUGGAGACUACAAAUGAUUGGAGACUACAUCGAUUUAGAUGAUGAUGCAACGGUAUGACGUAAUUGUAUCCCCCUGAGUGUUUUACACUGUCUACGUUCAAUUUUAUUUUGGUGUUUCGACCAAGGAUGACAGUGGUUACUCCACAUGGCGUGUGUUUUUUUUUUUACAGAGUGACAGAGAACCAUCAUCAUUGACAACCAGCAUCCAAAUGUUGUCAUGUACCUAUGUACACAAAGCCUUAUUGUUGUUGUUGUAUCAUGUAGCUUUAUUUAAUUUCAUUAAGUUGUGAAGAAGGUGGAUGGUCAGCUGGUGUGCGAGUCCCUCUGCUACACCGUUAUAGCGUUAUGUACCCACCUGUAACAUGUUUGCGAGCUGUAUACUUUUCAUCAUUUCUGUUCCAUAAAGAUUUCGGAUUUCGUCAACUUCAUCUCGUGAUAUUUUUUGUUCAUCUUUGUCAGUAGAUGAACAGGAAGGCUCAAUGUUUUCGUCCCCAAAACACCGUUCCUCUUGGUCUUUGUAAGCUUCGUACAUGCAUUCAACAUCAGCGUUGCUUUCCUUGACGACCUGGUUUCUAAGUUCUGAAAAAGCUCUCAAACAUACUAAACUUUUCCACCAGAAACUACGAUUCAGAGGCAUCUGAUGGGCUGAUAACGGUGGUGUGGAUUUCGGCCACAGGCCACGUGCAGAGUGCCCACGUAUAAUUAAUGUUUGUGGUCAUUAUCUAGUGUGGUCAUGUAUGUACACAUACCUGAGGUCAGUACAUUUCUUUUUUCUUUUUAAAAUGUAUAUUUUAAGUGAGGUUGUCAUGUUUGACCAUACUUGGCAAUCUAAUGUUGUGUGUCUGUCCAUAGAUAGUGUAGAAAGAGGGAUUGGAAACCGAUCGCAAUCGUCGGCCAGUCCAGGCUGCGCAGGAAGUUAAUGUUAAUUCAAUUCACUGCACCGGAAGCUAAUAAUAGUUCUUCACAUCACCUUGGGAUAUAUGGGAUGGCAGCACAGAUUACAGAGCAGACAGACAGCAUAUGAGACUUGAGAAGAGCUAGAGCUAAAGAGCAAAGAGCAGUGAUGAGCAUUGAAGAGAAACACUCUACUGAGAUCGAGAGAAGCCACUAAGCCUCUGUUUGUGAAGACGAAGGAUUCAAGAUAUUUUGCAGUGCCAGCAUCAUGUAACUGCAUCAUGUAACUGUAUAUAAUUCAGUCCUUGUGGCAUCACUACAGCAUCUUAAGAUUUUUCCCAGUAUCCCAGUCGUCCAGGUAUUCAUUCUCCAACCCUAUAGUAUAUAUCACCCAUGGGUAAGUAAACAAGACGGUAGUAACAUAAUAACGUAUGACCAGUAUAAUUAUACAUGUACGUACGUCAAUUUGUAAAUAUACAUGUAUACUAAACAUCACAGCUACUGCCAAAAUAAAGCUUUGUUUAGUCAAAUAAGGGUGCCCAUUCCACAAUAUACAGUACUCACUACAAUAUAAAAGCAUUUAGAAAUACCCAAGACAAAUUAUAAGCCAAAGAGAGGCGGAAAAGUGAACAUAAAUUCCGGUAAAUUUGCCAUUUUAUCACAAUUUUAUUACAUGUUGUGAACUUUCCUUAGUACUUAGCAGUAUCAAUCAACACCAUUCCAUUCCUCACCUAAUUCUCUAUUCAACAAAGUCAAAAUGGUAAAUAUUGCUUGUAUAACAACGAAGAUAUAGGUACAGAAAGUCAUUCCCAGUUGAAUAUGCCGCUAAUUUCACUAAUAUAGGCCUGGAAAUCCAGGCCCCAAUUAAUAAUUAGCACCUACAUGGUAAGAGAGGCUCUAAUAAAUACUGCUACUGGUCUUAGUGCUAUUGAAUAAUGCUAUUGAAAGUGUUACCUUUGUCCAAGAAUUGUCUUUGGUAUCUCUGAACGCGCGUAAUUUAGUGCUUGUAGCUGCGUUAAUCGAAGCCUGGACUGCCGCUGGCCUUUGCGUUUAUUACACACACUUGAUAAGCCCACGUGAUUCCGUUUCCAAUCCCUUUCCUACAGUAUCUAUGGUCUGUCAACAGACCACAUUUUGUUAUUUCCUUGAUUGUCACACUGUUUUUUGACUGAGCAAUGCAGUUGCUUGCAUGCGCGUUAUACCAAACUAAUGUUGAUACUGCGCAUGCUUGCAUUUCUAACUAGGCCCAAGACUUACUCAGUGAAUCUUAGAUGGACUGGUUGUACUUUCUGCAAAACAAGUCUAUACCUAGGCACUUAUAUGUUAGUUUACUGUUUAGAGCAAGUGGCUACUGAACACAUGGACCGCUUCCAACAUUCAACCAGGUUUGUAUCUAGGUGAGGUAUUGUAUCUACGUGAGGUACAUGAUUAGUUGUCCCACAAUUUGCCGUGCAAUAAAGAACUGUCGACAGAGGAUGCAAGUGUGUAUAGCAGAUCUGAUGUACAAAGAGCACAAUAUAUAAUUAUGUUAUAUAAUUAUGUUUAUUAAAUUAUGUGAGAGUGAAAAUUUUUUACCCAACAUGUACCUGGUUCUGAUCGACACAAUGCUAUCAGAGGUUCGUGGUAUAUGGAAUUCGUGAACUAAUGGAAUUCGUGAACUAACACCAGAGCAAUAGGUGUGAUGGAUUGGAAGAUGCCUACAUUGUCUGUUUCGCUAACAUUCAUUCAGCGUAGAUGAUGUAGUGAAAAUGAUGUAUUGUAUUUUCCAAGAUCUUGCAAUCAUUUUGGUGAAAGUCCAAAAACGUCACUGCGCACGCGCACAGAUCUAACACAUGUGUACGUUUACAAUGUACAAUGGCUUACAGUGCAAGUGAUCGUGAGGCAACAGCUAGGCAACCAGCUCCAAGCAGAAGAGUAACAGUCACUGUUCUGCCACCAGGGUUUAUGAGUAGGUUUAUGAGUACGAGUGGAUGUAUGCAAACAGGAAAUACAACUUCUGACACGACUCCUACUCCUGCUCCGACACCACUACCACUAACACAAUCUCAAAUUUUGUACCGAGUAAAGAUCAUCAACCCGGCAAAAAAAACAGACAUGGUUGUUAGAGACAUGAG